AUGCAAGUCGAACGCGCGGAUCAGGAGCUUGCUCCUGUGACGCGAGUGGCGGACGGGUGAGUAACACGUAGGCAACCUGCCCAUCAGACUGGGAUAACCACGGGAAACCGUGGCUAAUACCGGAUAAUCCUUUUCCACACAGGUGGAAAAGUUGAAAGGCGGCUUCGGCUGUCACUGAUGGAUGGGCCUGCGGCGCAUUAGCUGGUUGGUGGGGUAACGGCCCACCAAGGCGACGAUGCGUAGCCGACCUGAGAGGGUGAUCGGCCACACUGGGACUGAGACACGGCCCAGACUCCUACGGGAGGCAGCAGUAGGGAAUCUUCCGCAAUGGACGAAAGUCUGACGGAGCAACGCCGCGUGAGUGAAGAAGGGUUUCGGCUCGUAAAACUCUGUUGUCAGGGAAGAACGCCGACGGGAGUAACUGCCCGUCGGGUGACGGUACCUGACCAGAAAGCCACGGCUAACUACGUGCCAGCAGCCGCGGUAAUACGUAGGUGGCAAGCGUUAUCCGGAAUUAUUGGGCGUAAAGCGCGCGUAGGCGGUUCGUUAAGUCUGAUGUGAAAGCCCCCGGCUCAACCGGGGAGGGUCAUUGGAAACUGGCGGACUUGAGUGCAGAAGAGGAGAGUGGAAUUCCAUGUGUAGCGGUGAAAUGCGCA
rnacentral:rRNA from 1 species